ensembl:lncRNA
GUGUGUUCAUUGCUGUGACUGUUAUUUGCCAUAGGGUCUGCUGAAAUGAGUUAGAGGAAUUCAAGUGCUGCUAAACCAGAUUCACCUCCUGAUGUGCACUUAUCCCUUAGAAUCCAAACAGAAAAAGUGCUGCCAAGGUGUAUUAAGUCACUUCUACAUCCCUUCCCCCAUUUUGCCUUUGAGAGGUGAUACAGCUCCGGAUUUUGUGCUUCACUGUCCAAGUUUGCAAAUGUGGUAUAAAUCUAAAGGGUUUUCAUGGCAGGAAGUGGUAGGUGGAGACGUCCUAAGGGCUGGAGCAAGGCUAAGACACAGCUGCCAGGGAAACUCUGGUGGGUGGGAGAAGGAGGAGACAGUCAUAUGCCUGGCAAGAGAGAGCCUUCCUGGGGAUGAGUGCAGCUGAGAGAGAGUGACAGAGUGCAACUGAGCAGAAGUGGCUGAAGCAGGAUUUGUCCAGCACUCUGUUUUUUUGAGGCCAGAAUGCAGCGCUUUCCACUGUGUCAUAAAGAAGUGAAACAGGAAAAUGACAGGCUCUUCCAAAUCAAUUGGAGCAGAGUGUCUUGAAAAGCUAGAUAAACAAGUCUACCUAAUUCAACUUAAGACAUCAUCUCUACGUCCCUUUGCAAAAUCAAAACUGAAA